AGUCCUAGAAUUACCUCACCAGAGAAGGACAGAAAAAAAAUAUUGAUUUAAUUGAGUGGAUGUAAAGAUGUAAAAGAUUGGGUCUACGUCAGACUUCUCUUUUAUCACAAGGUUUGGCUUCCUGCCAUGUGUUCAGGCAAUAAAUUGGCUGUAGCAGAGCUGCUUCUAGCAUUCAGCUGGGUGGAAGUAGAGACAGUAGCAGGCACAAUAAGGGCUGGGAAGGUGAGGCAAUUCAGGUUAUCAGGGUUUCUCAAGGACUUCAACAAUGAAGCUCCGCUCAGGCCGCCAAAAGCCAUACGAAGUGCCUGUCUCUGCAAGACAACUGGCUAGAAGGAAACCUCCGCAGUGCAAUAGAGCACCAGCUUCUGGAACAUCAGUGUUUAGUCUGCGAAAAACAGUAAAGUGCUAUUUACUGACUGAAGAUUCAAAAACAGUGCAUUUUGACUUAGAUGAAGAUGGUCAUCAUGAAAUAUCAACCAAAGAUUCACAGUCCCAUGAAGAUAUCGCAUGGUUAAGCAUAUUCACAAGCAAUGAACCAGCAGUUAGGGCGAAAACGUGGUCUAAAACUGUGGUGGUCCUCACACAGAGAUCAAAGCAUAACGAAUUUGUCCUGUUGUGCAAGGGUAAAAAGCAGCUCUGUCUGAAGGUCUUAAAAGGAUGUUGUUCAGAGCCAGAUUAUCCUUCAGUGAAAAGACGCAACGGGAAAACAUGCAAGCACGAAGAUCCUGACUUCGAACAGCUGAGCGAAGAUAAUCACUUUUUCAUCAUGCAUAGUGAAGGAGAGUCAGUGAAAUUCCAGUGCUAUGAAGACACAAAUUACUUUCUGCAUGUGAAUGAUGACUCACUUGAUAUACGCAAGCCAGAUCACAAAGACCCCAAUGGAGAGAAAAAUUUUUUCUUCAGAGUGUCAUACUUAUAGAGAAAAUAUUUCUUCUACCCUUCAGUGGCCGAACUGUCCAUACAGCUCCUACAAUAAUUUAACAGGAAAGAAGAAAG
rnacentral:lncRNA from 1 species